rnacentral:rRNA from 1 species
GAUGAACGCUGGCGGCGUGCCUAAUACAUGCAAGUCGAGCGAACAGACGAGGUGCUUGCUCCUCUGACGUUAGCGGCGGACGUGUGAGUAACACGUGGAUAACCUCCCUAUAAGACUGGGAUAACUUCGGGAAACGGGCGCUAAUACCGUAUAAUAUAUUGAAGCGCAUGGUUCAAUAGUGAAAGACGGUUUUGCUGUCACGUAUAGGUGGAUCAUCGCCGCAUUAGCUAGUUGGUAAGGUAACGGCUUACCAAGGCAACGAUUGUUAGCCGAAGUGAGCGGGUGACCGGCCACGCUGGAACUGAACCACGGUCCUGUCUCCUACGGUAUGAAGCAGUAGCGAAUCUUACGCAAUGGGCGAAAGCUUGAGAGAGUAACGCCGCGGGUGUGAUGAAGGUCUUCGGAUCGUAAACCGCUGAUAUUAGGGAGAAACAAAUGUGUAUUUAACUAUGGACGUAUUGACGGUAAUUAGUCAGAAAGCCACGGCUAACUACGUG